UGACAACCCUAGAGAUAGGGCGUCCCUUUCGGGGGACAGAGUGACAGGUGGUGCAUGGUUGUCGUCAGCUCGUGUCGUGAGAUGUUGGGUUAAGUCCCGCAACGAGCGCAACCCUUGAUCUUAGUUGCCAGCAUUCAGUUGGGCACUCUAAGGUGACUGCCGGUGACAAACCGGAGGAAGGUGGGGAUGACGUCAAAUCAUCAUGCCCCUUAUGACCUGGGCUACACACGUGCUACAAUGGAUAGAACAAAGGGCAGCGAAGCCGCGAGGUGAAGCCAAUCCCAUAAAUCUAUUCUCAGUUCGGAUUGCAGGCUGCAACUCGCCUGCAUGAAGCCGGAAUCGCUAGUAAUCGCGGAUCAGCAUGCCGCGGUGAAUACGUUCCCGGGCCUUGUACACACCGCCCGUCACACCACGAGAGUUUGUAACACCCGAAGUCGGUGAGGUAACCUUUUGGAGCCAGCCGCCUAAGGUGGGACAGAUGAUUGGGGUGAAGUCGUAACAAGGUAGCCGUAUCGGAAGGUGCGGCUAGAUCACCUCCUU
rnacentral:rRNA from 1 species